rnacentral:lncRNA from 1 species
UGGGUUAGUAACACGUACGAUAAGGUUCGGGUCCUUAUCGGGUCGACCUGAUAAGGACCUGAUAAUUUCGGGUCGGGUUGGGUUGGGUUCGGGUCGGAUUCAGGUAACCCGAUAGUGAUAUUAUUAUUUUUAUUAAAUAUUUAUUUUAAUUUUUAAAUUUUUGAUUUCUUAGUUUAGGCCUUAGGGUUUCAUUCAUUUCAAAUUUCAAUCA